UACAGAGGGCGCGAGCGUUGUCCGGAAUGACUGGGCGUAAAGGGCGCGUAGGCGGCUCACAGAGUCGGACGUGAAAUUCCUGGGCUUAACCUGGGGGCUGCGUUCGAUACCUGUGGACUAGAGUGGGGAAGAGGGUCGUGGAAUUCCCAGUGUAGAGGUGAAAUUCGUAGAUAUCGGGAAGAACACCCGUGGCUAAGGCGGCUCUCUAGUACGGUACUGACGCUGAGACGCGAAAGCGUGGGGAGCGAACAGG
rnacentral:rRNA from 1 species